rnacentral:sRNA from 1 species
CAUUUGGGCAGCCCCAGCCCAUCUACCCAGGCUAUCAUCAGUCCAGCUACGGUGGGCAAUCAGGGUCCACAGCCCCCGCCAUUCCCUAUGGAGCCUACAAUGGCCCAGUACCAGGCUAUCAGCAAACACCUCCCCAAGGUAUGUCAAGAGCCCCACCUUCCUCGGGGGCACCUCCAGCCUCAACAGCACAGGCUCCUUGUGGCCAGGCUGCAUAUGGCCAGUUUGGCCAAGGAGAUGUACAGAAUGGGCCAAGCUCCACGGUUCAGAUGCAAAGGUUACAGGUACUGCUGACGUCCAGCCCUGUGGAUUAUUGACCCAUCUUAGUACCUGGGUUCCUUUGCAUAUUCUUCAUUUUCUGUGAACUUGAGUUUCUUGCUUUACUAGACAUACAUCUUCAAUAAUGGUUGCAGUCCUAUUGAGCCUACCCUAAGGGAGAAAUGGGAAGAGGGAACCUCAGGAUUAUUUGCAUCUCUUUUGACUUGCCCCUUUCCUUUAGAUCAGGCACUUAGUAAGACUGACUGGUUAAGUUUGGGCAUGGUGAGUUAUGAACUGAAAGAUACUAAAAGGGAAACCACAUAAAUGGUGAAAACUUCAGUGGUACAAUGACCCAAUAAACCCAUCUUAGCAUGAAAGUCCAUUAAAGGAGGGCAGUCAUCUGUA